rnacentral:rRNA from 1 species
CAGCACCUCAAGUGGUCAGGAUGAUUAUUGGGCCUAAAGCAUCCGUAGCCGGCGAUGUAAGGUUUCGGUUAAAUCUGUACGCUCAACGUACAGGCUGCCGGGAAUACUGCAGCGCUAGGGAGUGGGAGAGGUAGACGGUACUCGGUAGGAAGGGGUAAAAUCCUUUGAUCUAUUGAUGACCACCUGUGGCGAAGGCGGUCUACCAGAACACGUCCGACGGUGAGGGAUGAAAGCUGGGGGAGCAAACCGGAUUAGAUACCCGAGUAGUCC